rnacentral:piRNA from 1 species
UAAAGAAGAAUGUCUAUCUCUUCGGGUGGA